CAGCAAUUCUGUAACAAUCAUAACUAGAAUCUAGUUCUCAAGUUUUACCCAUUCAGACCUUGGUUCCUUCAGAUAUCGUACAUUCUAGCUCUGCUUGCAUAGUGUGAAAGAAAUUGGAUUGCUUACUGAAAAAUGAACCUGACCUGUCACAGCAAUUCUGGACUUACUUGGACUCCUGAUGUCAAUUCUGUUGUCAUAUGCAUUGAAGCUUCGCAAUGACAGGAGAUUAAACAAAUGGGAGGAGAAUUCCAGGAAAUGAAAAAGUCAUACGAAGAAGAGUUAUGUUCUACAGCCAAGCCCAAGUUAAAAAAUAAUCAACUGAACCUUCACAUUCUUUGAGUGCCUCUCUCGUUGGAGGACCAACUUCUGUCUUGAUGAAUGAAUCUCCUGGGAGAAGCAAUCCAUUUUUAUAAACAUUCUCAGAAGAAGAAAAGCAUUCCCAUCUCGAAGAGUCAGGAUGCACAUAAGAAAGGAAGGAUGAGCAAGAAUGUGGAGGAUUUUUCAUCUCUUCAUUUUUCCUAACCCGCAUGGACAGAAGAGAGAAGACUGUUGCAAGGCCAAGAAACUUGCAAAACAAGCCUACUUGCAUUUGCUGAGCAUAUCUAUAUGUUUAAUUAGGGAAGGAACAGGACAACAAAGGAGGACAACUAAAGCAUACUAUUGUUUUUAUUUUAUUUUAUUUUAUUUUUAUUGUUGUGAAUAGAGUCUCACUCUGUCACCUAGACUGAAGUGCAGUGGAGCCAUCAUGGCUCACUGCAGUCUCAACCUCCUGGGCUCAAGCACUCCUACCGCCUCAGCCUCCUGCCUCAGCCUCCUGAGUUCCUAGGACCACAGGACAUGUGCAUACACAUGUGCCACCAUACUCAGCUAAUUAAAAAAAAAAUUGUAGAUUGUAGAGACAGGGCCUUACUAUGUUACCCAGGUUGGUCUUGAACUCCUGGCCUCGCGUGAUCUUCCUACCUCAGCCUCCCAAAGUGUUGAGUUUAUAGGCGUUAGCCACUGCACCCAGCCAAGCACACUAUUUUUAAAGAUCAGUUUCUACCAUGUGGAAUGCAUGAUAAGGUAUAUUGAAUUGCACGUUCUUGGAAAUUAUCUCUAAACACACAGCUUCUUUUUAUAAAUAUUUUUAUAUUUUUGGAUUAUAAUAGUAAUUUUAAACGCUGUUUGGUGUUUACUCUUCUGCUAAGCAUAAAGGUUUUUUUUUUUUCAGUCGAAAGUACUAAUUAAUAGUAUGGCAAGUGCCACCAGAUAAUGAUGGCAGAUGGCAGUCACAGGCUAUGGUAGCUAUGGACCCAUAAGGUCUUUAGUCACAUCACUCACUGAUACACCUGUAACUCAACACUUCAAUUCUAAACCAAUGUUGAAAAUAGAAACUCAUUCUGAAAAGAUAUGGCAUAUGCAGAAGGUAGAAUUCUAAGAUGGUCCCCAAGAUUCCUUCCUCUUGCACACACCAUUUAUCAUCCCCUCCCAUUGAGUAUGGACAGGUAUAUAAUAUGAUGGAUUUUACUGCCAUGAUUAAGUGAUAUUACCCGACAAAGAUGAAGGAAUGUUGUGGAUGUAAUCUCAAAUCAGUUGAUUUUGAGUCAAAAUGAAAAUUAUCCUGGAUGGCCUAACUUAAUCAGGUGAGUUAUUCAAAAGAGAAAGAUAUUUGAAAUGAAAAAAAUUCUCCUGGUUGUUCUGAAGAAGACAGCCAUCCAGGCUGUGAGAGAAAUACAUGGCCAUCUCCUGAGGGCAGCCUCUAGAAGCUGAGGCCAGCACAAAACAAAACAAAACAAACAGACAAACAAAUAAAACAGGGAUCUCCAUCCUAUAACCACAAGGGAGUUAAUUCUGCCAAGGACCAGAAUGAACUUGGAAGGGGACUCCAAGCUCCUGAUAAGACCACAGCCCCAGCUGAAGCCUAGAGACCUAGAGAGACCCUGAGCAGAG
rnacentral:lncRNA from 10 species